rnacentral:lncRNA from 1 species
UCUUCCUUUUAACCUAAAGGAACUACUGGAAAAUAUGCUUCACCAACACAAGAAAAUAUACCAAGAAAGAGGAAGGCCUGAGUCUCAGGAUAUAAGGAAUACAUGCCAGGAGAAUGGUAAAGGCAAUUCCAAAUUUGAGAGCAAGAGGAGUCCAAGGAUAACACUACAGCAAGUCCAGAAAGCACCAGCCCCAUAGAGAAGUCCCCAGGAGAGAGGGCUCAAAGGAAAACAUUUAGAAUGGCUAGAUUACCCAGUAUGGGUGGUCUAUGGGAAAAUGUACUGAGACACUAUUAUGGGAAGACAUGGGAAAAAUUAGCAAUAAUAAAAAAAAAGCACCAACCACAUGAAAAAAAUCAAGGCAUGUUUUACCUGAGGGAAAAAUAGCAAGGUAAUAGAAAACAAGGAGAGCCUGAGAAACUGUCACAACCAAGAGCAGAAGGAGUCAUGACAACUCAGUGUAUCCUGGAUGUGGUAUCCUGGAAGGGGUCCUGGAACAGAAAAAAUGCAUUAAGCAAAAACAAAUGAAAUCUGAGUAAACAACAGACUUUAGCUAAUAAUAAUGUUUCAGUAUUUAUUUAUUAGUAGUAACAGGUGUACUAUACUAACAUGUUGAUAGAAGAAACGGUGCAGGGUAUAUGAGAACUCUAUAUGUAUUACCUUCACAUUUUUUCCGUAAAUCUAAAACUUCUAAAACAGUUUAUUUUUUAAAAAAGGAAGAAAAUCACAAUACACUUCAACUUUUAGCUUUGAAUAAUAUUUGCAUAGGCACAAUAAUGCAAACACUGAUUUAACAAAAAGAUUGCAAUGUAACUACAUUGAAAGGGUGGGGAAGAAAUGUGUAAAGCAGAGAGAUGGCAGAGUGAGAGAACCAAACUGAUUUACCAUAAAAAAGAUAAGUAGGUAAUGCCCAAAAUUGAUGAUUGAUAGCAAUAUAUGCCUAUUAUUUAGAAAUGUGAAGGUAUAUGAUGGCAGGAGAAACAGCUAAGACUAGAAAGAGGUUGUCUCUGAGGAAAAGGAUUAGGAAAACAGGACACGUGGGACAGAGAACCAUUGUUUUUUAUUUAGCCUUUUUUUUUUUUUUCUUUCCAGACAGGGUCUCACUUUGUCAUCCAGGCUGGAGUGCAGUAGCAUGAACACGGCUCACUGCAGCCUCAGCCUCCUGGGCUCAAGCAAUCCUCCCAACCUCAACCUCCCUAGUAGUUGGGAUUACAGGUGUGAGCCAUCAUGCCCAGCUAAUUUUUUGUAUUUUUUUGUAGAGACAGGGUUUUGCCAUGUUGCUCAGGCUAGUCUCGAACUCUUGAGCUCAAGCCAUCCACCCAAUUUGGCCUUCCAAAGUGCUAGGAUUAACAGGCAUGAGCCACUGCACCUGGCUAUUUAGCGUUUUCAAUGCUAGUUUUCAGAUUAUGUGCAUGUAUUAAUUUGAUAAACAUCAACUAAAAUAAAUCAAAAGGAUGAAGUAGACUGUAAUGCAUUGACAAGCAAGAAAACUGCCAAAUAAUUGACAAAUCAAAAAGCAAAUUCUAGGAAUGCCACAGAAAUAACCCUGAUGGCAUUACUAAAUACAGGUUGGUUGCCAUUUUGAAGUUAUUCUCUUUUUCAAAACGUGCCAACAUACUAAAAAUUAACGUCUUCAUUUCUGAAACUUAAGUUCCCUCCUUUGACUACUUUCUCAAUUCUUCUCUCUCAUUCUCUGGUAGAAAAUCUGCUUUCACUUCAUCACCGCAUUGAAAUCCUCUAAUUUAUGCUUGUCACCUUUCUCUUGCCUUCAUUUCUCUCAAUGCAACUUUCUCCCUAAAUGUUCUCUGAAACCCACCAACAAUCCCCAAUACUGAAAAAAAUCCAUCAGUUUUAGGUCAUACUUUCUGAUGGCUUAAGAAAUAUAUAUUUUCUUCAGUUGGCUUCACUGUAAACUCAUGAUUUUCACUCAUUUGAAAAUUAGCACUCAUCAAUAGUCCUUUUACUCAUCCCCUCCCUUUUUUUUCCUAAACAUGUGCCAUUCUUUUUUGGUAUCUAAUCUUCUUUGGCCUUUCUGCUGACAUUACUCCCUGAUGGCUUUCUUACUUUGCCAAAACAAAAAAUGUCCUGCCUUUUUUUCAUCUCCAAAUACACUCAUUCUUCCCUUUCCUUUUGUGCAGAGUAAGAAAUAUCCCCACUUCUUUCUGAGACUCUUUCCAUCUACCUGACUUCUUUCUUCCCUUAGAUAUUAGUUUUACCCAGGAUUUUUGAAAUUUGCAUGCAGAUUUCAAAAUGGAUGGAUAAAUGAAAGAAUAAAUGAAACUUGCCAUCUUAAUUACGGUUUCCCUAAAUUACCUCCUUUCCUACUUCCACUACAGUGGUUCAGGCCUUUACCAUCACUUGGCUGGUUGACUGCUGCUGCAUCGAAUGUUCUUAUAAUUUUUUCACUCACCAUCUUCCUUCCAUGAUUUACUAUUUCCUCUGGCUUACAACAUAUUCAAGGUUCUUACAUGUGUUUGGGUGGAAGUGAACUUUUCUUUCCCUAAUAACCAUAUUUCUAUUUCAUCCUUGGUCUCCAGGCUUUUUAAAGGUUUCUCACAUUUACUGAUAACAUUCAUUUAUCUAUAGUAGAGUAUCUCUGUAGUGGAUGAAGUUCUAAACUUUUGUUGGCUGAAUACAAAUUGAUUUUGACUGCCUGCUUUUUUCCCCUCCACCUCUGAUGCUCAGCCCCAGGGCUCCCAGUGUGGAUCUCCUAGGGCAUACUAUUCUGGGAAGGGCUCUUUUUGGUAAGCCUAUUUAGACCAUAGUCAAGCAUAAACUCGUUGUUUUGAAGAAGCCCUAAAGACUGGUGAAAUAAUCGAAAUGUGAGUACUUUGUUCAGACUGAGAUGUUAAGUGUUCAGUAACAUUUAUUGGAUAUAUGAUAGCUAAUAUUUUAUAAAGCACUUGCUAUUGCUAAGAAAUUCACAUCAUCUUAGUGUCCUUAAGGAGCAUCUGAAGGGACACUUUCCAUUAUACAGAUAAGGAAAGUAACUUUUAGAGAUAAAUAACUUGCUUAAAGUCAAUAUUGUAGGCUCUUGAGCCAGGAUUCAUACUGGUGGGCUGAAUGUGUAACUGCAUUCUUAAUCAUUCGAUUACACUGUCUUGGCUGUAAAACACUGGUUUCUACAAGAAAUAACAUGGGCAUAGUCAUUCCUCAAGAGACAUACAAAUUAGUCAAGGCAGUAAUGCCACACAACUAUAAUGCAAGAUAGAUCUCUAUAAUUGCAAUCUAAAAGGAACAAAGUGUUACUGGAGUCCUACUGAGAGAUCAAGAGACAUUCCUUCUAGCUAGGGUACUUAAAAGGAUGUGGACUUUAGAUUUGGCUUUAAAGUUUAAGGGAUGGACAAGAUUUAAACAAUUGCUGUUAAAAGGGAAAGGUUAAUCAGAGAAGGGGUGUCACUAACAAAAACAUGAACCAGGAAGGAAGAGAGCAUGCUCAUGAGACAGGAGCCUAAUUUCAUUAAAGCAAAAGGUGAGUGAAGUUAAGGGGUAAGAAUCAAGACAGGAAAAAUAGUUUGAGACCAAAUUAUGGAGCAAGCAUCUGAACUUUAUCUGCAGACUGUAAGGAGUCUAUGAAGAUUUCUGAGCAUAGUACCAUGACAAGAGUUAUUUAGGAAGAUCAAUUUGGGAGCAGGUUGUAGGACUGGCAGAGUAGAGAGAGACUAAAAGAAUAGUUUUGUUUGUUGUUUUUUGUUUUUUUGUUUUUUUUUUGAGACGUUGUCUAGCUCUCUUGCCAGGCUGGAGUGCAGUGGCACGAUCUCGGCUCACUGCAACUUCCGCCUCCCAGGCUCAAGCGAUUCUCCUGCCUCAGCCUUCUGAGUAGCUGGGAUUACAGGCACGCGCCACCACACCCAGCUAAUUUU